rnacentral:lncRNA from 1 species
CCUUUUAUCACAUUUUGCUCUUUUUCCUACAAUGAGCACCAUUAAUCAAAUAUACAUAGAAUCCAUCAAUUAAAACAAUAUUUGGCUAAAAUCAAGGGGAAAAUAAUUAUAAAUUAAAUAGCAAUUUUACACCCUAUCAGUACGACAAAGAUUUUAUCUGUGACACCCCCACUUCUUCCUAAGGCGAACCAAAGGGUAUCCGCGGGACGCCUGCCCAACUCUCGCCAGGACUCAAGCAAUUCCAUUCGAGCUUAUUACUAAUCUAAACGUUACAAGAAGAAUAACAUAAAUACAAAUAAUGCGGAAGCGUUCAACUUAACAAUAGUCAUCUAUUACCCAACCCGUACAUCGGGUGUUCAAAAUACAACUUAAAUCCCAAUUAUACAUCAUGCCCAAAUAUUACAUUUCAAUUUCAAAAGUACAACCCAAAACCCAGGGCAUAGCCAAAAUAUAAUGGAAACCCUAAGACAAAAGUACAACAGGAGGGUUUCUCCAACACUUCUCCGGAUUCAAUUCUGUUAAGGAAAACAAAUCUACAGGGUGAGCAAAACGCUCGUGAGACCAAGAAUACACAUGCAAGCACAUUGUUCAAAUAGCAAGCCAAGUAUACAAGUCGAGUAAUAAAGGUUCGAUAAAUAACAAUUUACCGGAAAAGUAAACAGAAACAAUUCAAGGAUACUGGAGCUCUCAGGAGCUAUAUUCCACUCGCGCGUUCAGGAACCACCACGACUUGACACUCCGUCAAUCGGGUAGGUUCAGUCCGUAGAACUUCGCUUAUCAUGUCCCCUUUCACCUUACAUACCCCUGUUUCGGGCCCGCCUGACAUAUGUUUGGGCAAUACUACAUCGAGUAUGCCAAACGAGAUCUCUUAUUAGAUCAAGCUUUCAUGUUUCCUCAUGGUUUAUCGAGGAACCCGACCAAGCCCAUGUCAGCUCGAACCAAGGAUGGCUAUUGAGGUUUGGGCGUCCCCCAAGCAUAUAUAUGUGUUGAGAAGAUUUCACUCCAACGACGUAUGCAAUCAUAGCAUACCAUAUCCAAGCCAUCCAAGCAUGUAACAUGUUCAAGCAAGCAAGAUGUACAAGUGUUCAAAUUCAAGAUGUUCAUAUCGGAGAGAACGAGUGCAAUAAAGUACACCCUCGUCUCAAGUUUCCAAAAUUCCAGCAUUUAUGACAAGUAAACAUGUAUCGAGUUCAAAUAAGCACACACUUGACACUCCCCGAGCAAAACAAGAAGAAAUAUUUUCUGGAUGUUCAAGUGUACACUGUAGGAUCCUCUUGAAGGUCCUCGUGUGCGCCUGAGCAAAUAAUAAUGUAUUAUCAUUCAUGUGCCCCAAUUAUCAAGGAAGAUUGUAUGUUAGUACAAUCUAAGGGAAUUUCAAGAAAACGAACCUCAAUUACUCGUAAAUCGAGAUUCAAUUAGAGUUUCUUAAAUUGCAAGAGCAAUCAAGUUUUCAUUUUGGGAAAUCAAGUAUAAAAUGUUCAAGUAAUAUCGAAGGAAUAAGAAGUGCUUGAAAACUCCCUUCCUUUGGAAUUCGGAAAAUUUUCAGUUUUUGAUACGAUAUUUUGAAAAAUCGUAUCUCACAUUCUACAUGUCAAAAAUUGGAAAACUUGGUACUGUUGGAAACCUCUUUGAAAGUACUAAAAGUUCUUAGAAGACACUUUUCCAUGAUUCUAAAUGGAAGAUAUUCAAAAAUGGGCUCAAAGUUACUGUUUCAGAGUACUUAAGGUUGUGUUGGGGUUGGUUUUUCGCUAACUUUGGAAAUUCGGAAAAAUUCACACGUUGUGAGCUAGCCUCUAAAAUUUGUAACUCAAUUAGAGUUGUAAGUAAGGUUUAUAACAGAACAAGCAUAUCAAGAAUCGGAGUUUCGAGUACCGAGAUACGGUAGCUCAAAGUUUGGAAAAAAUUCAAAACUGGUGAACAAAUUUCCAGAUUUGAGCUUCCAACUUUGGGACUUUGGUUAGGUAUCGAAACGGACUUGGAUUGGUACUAACUUUGGCAGUAUAACACUCCUAUAUAAAGGGUAUCCCUCUAUCAAAUUUCAUGGAAAAAUACCUUCGGGAAGGUAGUCAACUAACCAACUAAAGUUUCGAAAAAAAUUUCAAAGGCAAAACUGUCUUGAGCUUUUUGUUCUUCAUUUCCAAACAUUUGUCCCAGAAAAUCCUUCAAACAUGGUUCAUUUGUAUAGGCAAAGUAUAAGGAACAUUCAUGGUACAUUUGGUAAGUGUUUAACUCCAAGAAAUCCAAUUGACAGGUUCACAUCAAGUCAAUAUUGAAUCUGCCCAGAAUUUUAGGGUUUCCCAGAACAGGGCAGGUUUCGUAUUUUGAUCAUAAAUCACUCAAUUCAACUCAGAAUUGAGAAUUAUUGGUGUGUUGGAAAGCUCUUUCAUAAGGCUAGAAUUUCUUAGAAGAAACCAUUUUCAAAUUCCAUUCACAAACAGCUCGUUUUUUAGCAUCAAGAUACAAGUCCUGUCCUGUCUCCUAGAGAGAAACGAAACAGGACAGUGAUUUUCAAUCGAAUGGUGUGGCUCACUCAAGUGGAACCAGAACGUGCAUUUGGUACCAAUGGAAAGCUGGAAAUGUCUAGUUUCAAACGCCACUGACGGUACUCGAUUUCGACAUCGGGGCACCGAGUUAAGAACAAAACAAGAGGGCUGCCUGAGUAUUACGGGAACAGUUUUCAGGUCUGCUACCUUCACGAAAAUAAUUCAUUUGACCAACCAAACCUCAAUAGUUUUCAAUGAAAUUUUGUACACCAUCUAUACAACAUAUAAACAUCAUAUACAAGCCAUUAAACCCUCAAAAUUCCGCAGAAAUAGGUAAGUUCAAAGUAGGGGCAUUAUCAGAACUUUUUACUCCAUGCACUCCUUGAAGUUUCCUCUAGUUAUGCAACAUUAAUCUACCAUUUUGAGCACUAAAUCAACAUUAGAUCCAUCAUCAAGCAUGAGAUCAGUCCCCAAGACAAAGGUGGGAGUUCAUAGAGCCCACCCAUUUCAUUUUACACCAUAAACAAGCUAACCAAAGGCAUGCUAGAGCUUAAUCAUGCUAUAUGACUUCCAAAAGACAAGAUUCUAUGAGUUGAUCAUCACCUACCUCUUUGGUGUGCAAAAACCAGAAAUUUCGGUCUCCCCUUUUGCCAAGAAAACCGUGAAAGCUUCCCUUUUUUUUAAUAGCUCAAGAUGAUCCUCUAGUGUAGAGCUAAGUGCUGUGAAAAUUUGGUAGGAUUUGAGUGAAGUUUGAUGAUGAUUUUGGUUAAGAGAAUUUUGAAAGAACUUGGUGUUCUUGUUGCUCUCCUUGGCCGCCUGAAAUGAGAGGGAAGAGAGAGGGAAAUUUGAUCAAUUUUUAGCUUCCUUGAGAAGCUUCAAACGUGUGGCCCAUGUUGAUGCAAAGGUCAACUCUUCUACACGCGUUUCGUGCUCGAUUCCUCUCGCGUUUGUUUCACUAGUGCACUAAACCUCUAAUGCACUUAUGUACAUAUAUAUAUUAUUCACUCUUAAUUGUCCCAAAAUAAGAGUCUAAAGUCCAUCAAUUGAAAUCACGCGUGUGAAAACGCGUAUCUCCAAUUUGAGCGCGAUAACGCGAAACUUCCGAGAAAUUCUUAUAACAAUAAUACUAAUAACUAUUGCUUGAGUAUUUAAACAUUAAAAUACCUAAUUUAGGUCCAUUGUAUAAGUCUCCAAUAUUCCAAGUUUAUUGCACACUCAAUCGGUUAAAAUUUCCAAGCACUAUUCACUAUUCUCACUAAACGCGCUUCCAAAAAUUAAUUUUUUGAAACAAGUCACUUUAAAAAUAUAAUGAAGCUAUAUUUCCAUGUAAUUAGGUUCAACGGGUCUAGAAAAUAAUAUUCGGAAUAAGUGAACAAGUAGAUAAUUAAAUAAGCUCAAUUUAGGGUUUCAAAGUAAUUGAAUUUUUUUUUUUGAAUCCUCACAUUAUCAAUCACUUUGCAACCCCCAAUUUGCUGUUUAAUACAGUUUUGUGCAUUUAGGCCAUGUGCGCUUCCUAGUUAUUCAUGAGGGAUCUAAAGAUUCGGCCAAAAAAUCUUUUAGGGAUGGGCUCACUCCACUGUUAUAUAUGUGAAUUCAUCAAAUAUACACUACUUAAAUACACCUCUUUAAAGGAAUAUAAAUUCAUUAAGAGUUUUAAACACAACCUCACGAUUACUAGAAGUCAAAGCACUUAUCUCAGUUGGGACUUAAUCUUGAAGUGCGCCACAAUCAAUAUUAACUUGUUAUUACCCAUAUGAAUCUAUUUUAUGAGAUCUCCAAUCACAUAGGUUGGAUUACCAUCUUUAUUAACAAUUUGUUGGUCUAAAUUACAUUUUUCUUGUAGUUUAAAGAAUUAUUUUUCUUCCUACAGGUUUAGUUAGAGGAUCAAUUAAGUUAAACUUUGACUUUACAAAAUCAAUGGAAAUUAUUCCAUCUCUAAGUAGUUGCUUUAUGACACCAUGUCUCAAUUUUAUGUGGCGACUUUAACAAUUAUAGGACUUAUUUUUAACAAUAACAAUUGCCGCUUGACAAUCACAAUGUAUGGACACAGGAGGCAACAGAUCCUUGGUUGAAGGAAUAUCGACUAAGAAAUUUCUCAACCAAUCGCCUCAAAAUCAGCCAGCUCCAGAGCUAUAAACUCUGAUUCUAUAGUUGAUCUAGCAAUGAUUGUCUGUCUAGCUUUUCCAUGCUAUUGCACCACCACUAAGGGUGAACACAUGAUCACUAGUGGAUCUUAUCUCAUUUGAAUCAAAGAUCCAAUUAGCAUUGUCGCGCCCCAUUUUUACAAGAAAAAUAAAUAGUUUAAAAAGUGAAUUUUUUGAUUUGAAAAAUGAUUUUUCAUUUACAAUGAAAGUGGGUCUAAAUGGGACUUGAAAAUGCGACGAUUUGACCCAAAACAUAGUUUAAAAAGGGUUUUUGAAAUAAAAAUCGGAGUCGCCACUUGGUAUAGAGUUAAGGUGUACCAAGUCACCUAAAAAUGAAUUUUUUAAAGAAAAAUAGGAGAAAACCCUUUUUAAACGACUCCAAGUCUACGUAAAUCAAAGAAAAAGGUUCAGGAGUAACAUUUGAAGAGAGGGAAGGCAAGGACGAAGUCCAAGGCACCCUCUCAAUCUAGCCAAGGCUAGUUGCACGAUUUAGUCAAAGAUUUUCUUGUUUUAACCAAAAGAUUUAUCACAUUCGGAUGUACUAUAUGAAUGCAAAACCUAGACCUAGGGGGGAUUGGGGGGCAAAAUUUCUCUUCAAAGUUUGAAUGGUGCCAAUCACAUUAAUUGUGAUGCCCAAUGCGGAUUCUUUGGAGAGAUCACGAAUAAUGCUAAUGACGUAAAAAUAAGUGGAAUGAAUGUAUGCAAUGUGAGAAUAUGAGUUUGUGUGAAGUGAAAAAAAGUAAUAAAAGAUAAUGGUGUAUAAGUGGGAGUGUGCAAAUGAGUGUGCAAUGUAAGGUGAGUAAAGUGAUAGUAUGAAGUGCACGUGAUAGCAUAUAAAGUGCUAGUGGUAGAGUGAGAAUGUGUAAGAUAAGAGUCAUGUGCAAUAUGAAAUGCAUGAGCCCUAGAGGAAUGCAAGCAAGACAGGUACGGGGGACUAAUGUUCGUGACUUAAUUUUCCUUUUGGUUAGAAAAAGAAUGAGCGUGCUAAGGCUAUGUAUAGCCAAACUCGUCCAUCCCCCUUACCAAAAGAGUGACUCCCUAACCUAUACAAGCAAAUGAGCUAAUCUAAAUGAAAAUGUAAUCCUAUAUGUGUAAGGGAAAGGGAGUGAAGGGUCAUGCAAAAAAUGUAAAACUAAAAGGAAAGAAUGAAUGAAGAUGUAGUGAAGGCAUGCGAGUAUGUGCUAGCGAGAAGGGCCCUAUUGGGUCUAGCAUUGGACUAGCCCUUUACUAACGCUCGUUUACAAGCAUUGGACUUGUAAGAGCUCGAGGGGACAAUCAUGACUAGCAUUGGACUAGCCACGGUUACGUGCAUUUGCAUCCAUCAUACACGUAUAUAAGUAAUAUGUAUAAUUAAAGCAAGUAGGCAUGUGAGCACAUAAUUCACGUAACAUAUAAGCAUGCAUAUCUAGAUGCCAAAACCUAAGAAAACGAUUAAACACAUAGCACAUAGACAUGCAAAACACAUAAGGCAAUUAAGGCCCUAACUAUUACAUUUUUAGGGGGGAAGGCCUACUACAAUCUAAAAGGGGAAACAGAAUGAAAUGAAUAAUUUUAAAAAAAUCUAACUAUUACAAUUGUGGCAUUCAAGUGCCUUCCCAAAUGAUCAAAAAGGAACUUAAAUAAAUAUACGAAAAUAAGCAAAUAAAGCGAUAAAUAAAUAAGUAAAUAAAAACAUUCAAAAGGCAUGCAAUUGAGCACAUAUAGUCACAUAAGCUCACAUAGGGUCAAAUAAAGUCAAAAAAUAAAGGAUAAGAUGUACCUCCCUUGAGUUGGAGCUCUAAUGGGGUGAAAUGACUUAUUUACCCUCCAAAAAUAAAGAAAAGGUCAAGGCACCAAUUUAAUUUGAGACAAUUAAAGAAAAAAUGCAACUAACAAACUCACUUGAUCAUAAGCUCUUAAAAUCAUGAAUUAAGUGCAAUUUAAACAAAGCAGGGUAGUUGAUUGAAGCAAACAAGUAAUGAAAAGUUAUAAAAUUAGAGCUGCCAAGGACCAAAUUGAGGAAAUUAUUCAAUUGGUUAGGUCAUAGUAGCAUUAACCAAAAGCCAAAGGGAUGAAAUGCAAUUCUUGAAACCUUUUCCAUGCAAACCAUGCAAACUAAUACGAAGAAAGCUUCUGCAACUACUUCAUAUACUCUUGCAACCGAGAAAGAAAAUCUGCUGCAUUCCUUCCUCAACCGAGACUGGUUGCAAAUUUUCCAACAAAUGUUCUAACAUGAUUCAAAUGUUUCAGACCUACACAUGCAAACCCAACUCGCUCACCCAAUUUUCUCUCAUCAAGUAGGUAAUGAGACCCACUUGGUGGGCCGUUACGGGAGAGGAAACAGCAAAACAGGAGCAUGAAAUGCAGCUUUCUUAUUUCCCUACCUCAACUUAGAUAGGUUUACAUGCCAGUAUUCGACAAACUCUGGUAAUCUAACAUUCAAACCAAACUACCAAGCUUCAACUCAUUGUCAUUAACAUCCCCAAGCAUAAUCAUCUAACCCCCAUAACAUAUGAUUGAAACAGUCGGGCACGAAAUGCAGCAAAAGAAACAGUGAAACUUGCGGCAAAGCAAUCUAUGCACACGAUCAAGUCAUUCCAUUGGGGUAAAUAAGUGAAACUGGACCACAAACCAAAGACAUACAGCUUCACCUUGGUUCAAACAUAGCAUCAAAACUACAAGCCCUUCCUAGCUUCUGGUUUACCAAGACUUUGGCAAAUAAAAUCAUUCCAACACUACCAACUCACUCACUAUCAAAACAUUGGACCCCAAAGGAAAAGACAAUGAAAGCGUCUGAACUAAUGGGUAUGGAUACCAGCUUCAGCUAGAACAGCCGAAGUUUCUAAGACAUAAAAAAAAACUCUGUUGCCGUAACAGACCUGCCGCAUUGUAGUCUGAUGCUACAUCGCAUCUUGCGGCUUAAAAUUGCAGCAGAGCAUACACGACACUGCUAUCAUACAGCAGGUCAAUCCAAACACAAAACAAAACUGAGUCAAGCAAGAAAUUCAGUCACCAGAAAAAAAUCAAAAUGAACAGAUCAUACAACUCUUCUUCGUUGGUUUCCUCUACAGCAACUUAUUCAGUCAUUUCUCGCAAUUUCAAACGCAAACCAGCAAAUUUAUUACCCAAAAUUCAUUAAACUUCAAUACUAACACAACCUCACUAUAGGAGAUCAGUCAUUACAAAUCAAACAAAGAACCAAAUGGGUGAACAUGCAACGACAGAGAAACGAAAUCAGCUUUCUAAAGAACCCUGGAGGCGUUUGUCAAAGGCUAACAUCUUGAUACUAAACUAUAACCUAGGAAUCAAAAAAUCAAACAGACUGUAGAUCCUAACAUGCUAAUCAUGCAACGUAACAGCCAAAGAUAACAGCUUUAGGCUAAAAAUCAUAACCAACAAUAUGCCUCCCAUUGCCUUCCAACAAAAUCAAGAGUUCUGAAUACAAGCAUGGAAAGGAUAACGUUAACAGAUGGAGAGAGUAAUAUACCUGGACAGCCGGAAAAAGGGAUUAGAUUGAAACGAUCUUUAGCAAACACCUUUGCCUCUCCGCGAUGAUGGAAAACGGACGAGGGCCGUGGGUUUCUUCUUCCUCAAUCACUUUUCUUUUGCUCAGUUCCGUCUCUCUCCAACUCCCUCUCCCUUUUUCUUAAUCUCCGCCGCAACUCCAGCUCUUGGGUUUUUCCUUUUCUUCUUGCUUCUGACCUCUCUCUCAAAGCUGCAUUUCUUGUUCUCAAGAACCCCAGCCGCCACUCUCUUCACUCACUCUCUUUUCGGAAGCUCUCCCCCUAGCUCUCUUUUCCCCUUGCUCAACCCAGCCGUCAUCCAACCUCUAUCUGGUUUCUGUUUUUCAAUCCCCCAAAGACCUAGUCUUUUCUUUCUGUUUUGCCGCUCCUUUUCUUCUUUAUCUCACACUCUCUCUCGACCGCUGUUUUCUCUAUUCUCUCAACCUCCCCCAGCCGUCACCAAAAAGCUCCCCAAUCGGCUGUGUUUUCUGUUCUAUUUAUACCAAAGACACCACUCUCAAACCCUCACCUCAAAGGUGAGGAUGAGAGUGGAGGUUUGCAGGGCAUCUAGGGCCAUCCGAUGGAUGUUUCCCUAGAAAGAUUAAAAAUGAAUGGAAACCAAAUGGAGCUGCAAUCCCUUUCGUACUGAUGCCGCAUGCAUGGACCUCUUUUUUUUCAAUUAAUUAAUUAAACAAAAAUACAAAAUGACAGCUUAAACUUAAAUAAAAUGUAGAAACUAGCAACAAAAGAUAAAACUAAAAAACUAAGAUUUUUCUUCUUUUUUUUUCUCUUAUUUUCGAUUUUUUCAAUAAAAAUAAAUAAAACAUAUUUUUCCCUAAUUUUCUCUUUUUUUUGGCAAAAAAUUAUGCUAAAAAGUCUUAUAAAAAAUAAAUAGCUAAAAGAGUAAAAAUGAAUACAAAAAUAAAACUAAAAAUAAAAAAUGAUAGAUAAUAAUAAUCAAAAAUACUAAAAUGCUUAUACAAAAGCUAAAAGUCUAAGAACUUAAAAUCAUGGAAUUGAGAGAAUUAUUACUAAAACUAAAAAUAAAAUUAGGAUAAAAAUAAAAUUAUUUAAAAUUUGGUGUCUACAGUUUGCCCCUCUUUGUCUGAAUUUUGGAAAAACUUGAGACAAAAAAAUAGACACCAAAUACUUACCUGCAAACUAGUCAAACGACCGCCGUUCUUGAAAUGAGGAAUGACCCAGACAAGAAAUUUAAACAUGGGACUGGCCCGAAUAUGAAAUUUAAAGCGGGAAUGACCUGAACGAAUUUAAAUCAUGGGACUGACCCGAACAAAUCUUAAAUCAUGGGGCUGACCCGAACAAAAUAAAAUCAUGGGACUGACCCGAAUAAAAUUUAAAAUCAUGGGACUGACCCGAACAAAAUUUAAAUCAUGGGACUGACCCGAAUGAAAUUUAAAAUCAUGGGACUGACCCGAAUAAAAUUUAAAAUCAUGGGACUGACCCGAAAAAAAUUUAAAAUCAUGGGACUGACCCGAACAAAAUUAAAAAUCAUGGGACUGACCCGAAUAAAAUUUAAAAUCAUGGGACUGACCCGAAUAAAAUUAAAAUCAUGGGACUGACCCGAACAAUUUAAAAUCAUGGGACUAACUCGAAUAAAAUUUAAAAUCAUGGGACUGACCCGAACAAAAUUUAAAAUCAUGGGACUGACCCGAAUAAAAUUUAAAAUCAUGGGACUGACCCGAAUAAAAUUAAAAUCAUGGGACUGACCCGAAUAAAAUUAAAAUCAUGGGACUGAUCCGAACAAUUUAAAAUCAUGGGACUGACCCGAAUAAAAUUUAAAAUCAUGGGACUGACCCGAACAAAAUUAAAAUCAUGGGACUGACUCGAAUAAAAUUUAAAAUCAUGAUAUGCCAAUAAACUUACCUGAAAAAGUGCUCAAAGCUUUGCCCCAGUAGAGGUUAAGUUUUUGCAUCCGAGCCUAUAGUUAAUUCUGCAUUGCUAUGUUGUUGCACCUUUUGAGCAAAUUUGCUUGUGACAUUUUCGAUCCGUCUUUGUUCACACGAAAUUUUCUGCAAAAGAGAAAAGGUAAAGAAAAGUGCCACCAUCAUUUGAUUCGUUUGCCCUUGAGAAUCAUGUAAACAUGAGUCUUUUGAUGCCUUCACCAACUUUUGCUGCGGCAUCUGACUUAGUUGGAUUUGUCGAUUCCAAACAUCUCUGCUUUUCCAGACUGACGGGCGUGCAUUUUGCCAUAUUGUCAAACUUGCGUAACUAGCUUUGUUGAACUUUAACCCUUUUCAAGAGAUGACUGAAUCCAAGUAUGCUUUGAGUAAACCACGGGGAUUGUUAUUCACCAAAAUUUAAUGACCAAGAAUGAUGUAUGCAAGGUAACUUCACAUGUCAUACAGGAAUGAAUAUGCAAAAGAAUGUAAAACACAACCAACUGUGCUUGAUCCUACAAAAUGCCAUGAAUACAAGCAAUUGAGGAAAAAUAAGUUUCAUAAGAAUGCAUUUGCAAAAGAAUAUUUUUUACAAAGUGACACAGUUUUGGCCAAUGGAUGUCGUAUUCAAAUCCCUGGAUAUCCUUGUUCCGGAAUUCGACACUGGUAGAAGUAUUUCGAAGAGAAAUCCCAAAUGAACCAAAUCACCAACUAUUCCUCCUCGUGCUUGCUUAUUGAAGAAACCUACCUUGGCGCCCUUUCGGAUUUUCACCAAGAUUGCCCCACACCCUUUUGUUUUUGUUUUUCUUUUCUUUUCUUUUCUUCUUUCUCUCCCUUUUUUAUGAGGUGCCCUUUCGGGUUUUUACCUAAGAAAGCAAUGGAAGAGCUCGACCAUAAUUGACUCAUGAAUGUAAGUUGAAGAUUGCUGGCAUCAGUAAAAUGCGCUUCCCUUAUAAACUUAGGCGAAGGCAUCAUGGACAUCACUUGCCAGUUGAUUAGCAAACUUCCCAAUAGAAAUAUAGCAAGUGACGAAAGCAAGGACUUUGGGCUUUGUAAUGAGGUCAGGUAGGGUAUUUUCAAGAAAAGUUGAGACUUGAAAGCAAAUCUUGAUGAGAGAGGUGUGAAAUAACCUGUGAUUGCAUCAUUUUGAGAUUAUUUCCAAUUUUUGAACGAAACCGAGGAAAAUUUGCCCCCAGUUUGAUUGAAUUUCUCUCUUUGCAUUUUUCAUUGCAUUUCCUCACUUUUGCAUUUUCCUUUUAAGACUAAAUUUACCCCAAUGUGGGGUUUUCUGCCUUCUUUUUCCUUUUACCUUUUGAUCAUCUCAUCUCAAAAUAAAUUUACCCCAGUGUGGGGGUUUUCUUUCUUCUUUUCCCUCUUGAUCAUCUUUUCUCAAAAUAAAUUUGUCCCAGUGUGGGGUUUGCAAUUCUCAGGGGCUGCCAAACGAAAAUUAUUGUUCUGAUAGCUCAAAGGGGAUAACGAGAGAUGAAAUGUUUUGAUUGGAAAGGAAGAUGGCCUGACUUUUGUUUCGCCCCUUGCAUGAUUUUCAAAAGAAAUUUGCAUAAUCAAAAAUAAAAACUUCUUACACAUGUCUGAGUUGAUAGGUUGAGGGAAUGUUUGUCCAUCCAAAUGUUUCGCCCGGCAACACCUUUUGAACGACCAAUGAGCCUUGCCAGUUUGAAGCGAAUUCGUCUUUGGCUUCAUCUUUCAUUGGCAAAACUCGUUUUAACUCUUUGUCCCCUUCUCCAAAGGAUCGGUGGCGGACAUAGGCCAUGCGUUGUGGUAACAUUGGCCAUGGCACAUGGCAUUCAGCUGCUUUUCAUCAAUCAGAAUCAAUCGUCGGUGACACUUCUUUAACCAAUCAGUUUCGAACUUGGCAGAGAAGGAAUUUUCUCAAUGAAGGGAUUUUUCAAUGAAGGCUUUCUCAAUGAAAGGAUUCUUAAUGAAGAGAUUUUCUUAAUGAAGGGGUUUUCUCAAUGAAGGGAUCUUCAAUGAAGGAAUUUUCAAUGUUCGGCUUCAUCGAAUUCCAGAACAGUGAUAUUCAAAUGGUCAAAUAAUUUCAUCUUUGGCCAUCUUAAAAGAAUUAAAAAAUCAGGACAAUAAUCAAAUAAAUAAAACAAAUUGUGCAUUUCAUGAAACUCCAAAUCAAAGCGGAAACAAGACAAAACUCAAUUGCAAAAGAUGCUUUCAUUAAACUAUUCACAUAUGUAAGAAGUAGUUUUUGUGAACUUUAGUAAAUAACAACCCCUAGAUUUACCGAAAUUCCCUUGAGAGGGAAGAUACUCGGCCAUCCAAAUUGUACAAGGUUCUUUCAGGAUUUUCAAAUUUCGUCAUUGGAGGUGGAUGCCUCAAAUGUGUCCUUGUGUUUGGGAAAAGGGUUUGUACUUAUACUUGGUCCUUGUUCACCCUUUCCCCUUAGUACUAUUUCCCCAGCCUCGAUCAUGUUUUGGACUUUGUGCUUAAGGGCUUUACAAUCAGCGGUUGAGUGACUAGGUGCUCCCGAAUGAUAGGCACAAGCGGACUGUGGAUUGUAUCCGGCAGGCAUGCCAUAAGGGUAAGUUGGAGGGGGAAUCACACCUAUUUUGCCGGCAGCCUUUAAUUGCUCAUACAACUGGUCCAACGGCCUGCCUAGAUUGGUGAAUGUUCGGGUACGGCUUUGAUUGUAGGUUUCAGUGGGUUGGGGAUAAUCAUAGGUGGGUCUAUUUAGUGGAGGAAAUUGUUGAUUGUAGGGAGGUCGGGGUCGAACUUGUUGAAGGUUAGGUUGAGACACUUGAAAAGAGGCUCUAGGCGGGUUAGUGUAAUUUGGGCGAGGUCGGGGAUGGUUGAUAUUGGUGUUGUAGACUGGGUGAGAAUUUGGAUAGUAAGGGUAAGGGUUUGAGUAGGUAGGGUAUUGUCGAGGUCUGGGUCUUGGGAAAGGGUUUCGAUCCCAGACAAAAGCAACCUCCCCCUUUCUUUUGGAAUUGUUGCUUCUUGGCACUACUACUUUGGCCUUGCAAAGCUUCCACUUGAGUUUUCAGGGCAGACACAUUAACAAUCUUUCCAGCCUUCACAAAAUCAUCGUAUUCUUCAAGCUUAUUGACAAUAGCAGCAAAUGAGCAUCCAGUCAUGCGAAAGAUUUCCUCAAAGUACGGGGGAUCAUGUGCUUUAAUAAAAGUGCAAAUGAUUUCAUCUUCAAUCAUUGGUGGCUCAACCUUUGCAGCUAUUUUCCUCCACCUCUUGGCAUAAGUCUUGUGAUCCUCAGAGGGUUUUCUUUUUGUUCCUUCCAACGUGGUUCGUGUCGGAGCCAACUCGCAGUUAUACUCGUACUGCCUCACAAAAGCAUUGGACAAGUCAAUCCAAGUUUUUACUUCUUCGGGCUUCAAAUUUGAGUACCAAUCGAGGGCAUCCCCCUCCAGACUUUCCGGGAAUAACCUUAGAGGCAGGUUCUCGUCGUCUACUGGUUUUCCCAACUUGUUAGCAAAUAGUUGGAGGUGUGUCUUGGGAUUAUCCGUCCCAUCGUACUUGUUAAACUUAGGGGUUUUGAACCCCUCAGGCAAUUUCACAUUUGGAAAGAGACAAAACUCAUCGUAAUCCAGGACCCCUUGCUUGUUCAACCCCUGACUCUUUCUCAUAAACUCAUCAAAACGGUCAAGAUGUUUGAGCAGCUUUAUAUCAACGGGAGCGGAAGAUUCCUCCAUUUCUGGUUUGGUUUGAACAGUAUAGUCUGGUAGGAAUGGCUCAGCAGCAGUGUGAUAAAAGGUAUGUGGCUCGGGUGGUAUAUUUGGAGUGACAUGAGGUUGUGGACCUCGCAUGUGAGUAGGAAAAAAUGAAGGAUUAGGAGGGUAAGUGUAUGGCAAAUUUGUGGUGGGAUAGGUGAAAGUUUCUUCGGGUGGAAUAAUGAAGGGUGGAGUAAAAGUGGUUUGGGUCGUGGGUAUGCCAAACAAUUCUGGCUCCGGUUGACUGACGGGUACAGGCUCGGGUUGAACUUCGCUGCUGAUAAGCUCAUCAAUUAAUUUCCUUUGGGCCGCCAUCUCAGUGGCCAUCUCACCAAACUUAGUAAGUAUCUCGGUUAGCUGAACCCUUAAACUCGUAGUUUCAGGUUGAGUGGCAGUAGCAGACCUAUCCGAUGGUUCCGGUUGUGAACUCAUGUUUACACGACUUCUCUGGACUUGACUACGGGAUCGUGUUAUGAUAGGGUUUCGACGAGAAGUUAUGUUUAAAUAUUACCUGAGAAUUUUGGAAAGAAUUGCCUUUAGAUUUAGCCCUCGCUUAGCUAUUCCAAUAAAAAUAAAGAAAAGGAAAAGAAAAAGACGAGUUAGUAAAUAUCCAAAAAAUUCGGAUGCAUAUCCUAUGGGGGAACCCUUUUUGUGCCAAGGGUAGGCCUAGAAUGAGAAUGCAAUCCUCCAGAAUAGGCACUAUACAAUACCUGAUGGAUCCAAUCAACUUAUUGAGCGAAGAAUAAUUAAAAAUGAAAAUUGUCCAAUUGGAGUGAGAAAGGGACAUCUGUCCCAAAGAUGAGGACAAAGUCCGAAUGGAUUGCAUGUUUUGAUCAACACAUAAUGUGCAAAAGGGGUAAAAUGGUCAAAUGCAUUGAAUAAAAUUUGAUUAUUUAUUGAAAAUUGAAUGGAUAACCCUGAAAAUGAAUUACACUAAUCAAAUAAAUUGAAUGAAAUCAAUUGAUCAAACGGAUCGAGUGAAAUGAUGAUUUAUUCAAAAUCGACCGAAUUGCCCUAAAAAUAGGUAAACUGGUCAAAUGGAUCGGAAAAUUGACUAAAUCACCCUAAAAAGGGUAAACUGAUCAAAUGAAAUUGAACGAAUCUGAUGAUUUGAAUUUAUUCAAAAUUGAUUGAAUUGACCUAAGAAGGGGUAAACUAAUCAAAUGAAUUGAAUGAAAUUGGUGAUCUUAUUCAAAAAUCGACUAAAUUGCCCUAAAAUGGAUAAACUAGUCAAAUGAAUUCAAAAUCGACUAGGUUGCCCUAAAAAUGAACAAAUUGAUAAAAUGGACUGGAUGAAAUUGAUAAAUAAAAUGAUCCAAUGGACUGAAUGGAAUUGACGGCUUAUUGCGAUGCAUUAGUCUAUCAUAUUUUGGUCUCAGUUUAUUUAUCGUCUCAAUAGCGAGGAAUUAUUUGUAAAUUUCUUCAAAUUAAUGUCCUUUUUGCAAGGGAUUUUUACCAAUUUUGAUAAAGUGGCCAAAAAGUGAUUAUUAGACGCUCAUAUUCCAAAGAUCGCUCUAGGAAAAUGAUCGGAUCCUACCUUACCUUGUGCACUACCCCUUUGGAUGGUACAAAAUGUAAACGUGCAAGUCUCCUUGGAUUAAGUAUCCGAGACACAAGGUAGCUUAUUCCUAACACGGGAUCGCCUAAAUGGCAUUCCCUUUCUAGGGUUUAUGCAUGAUGCCAUUUUAUUAAAGCAGUAAAACAUGCAGUUUGAAAUGAAAUAUGACCUAAGGGACCCUUUAUUUGUCAGGGUAAGCCUAAAAUGAUAUGGCAUUAUUAAUCUAAGAAUGCAAUAUACCAAAAUUUUUAAACGUGCAAUAGCCUAUCUACAAGGGUAAAUUCUAAAAGAAGGUCAUGCCAGACCUCUUAUUUGCUAGGGUUUGUGAAUGCAAUGGGGACAAAACCAAGAAAGUUAGUUCAGCCAUAUAAAUACACAUAACACAUUGUAGCAACGAGAUAAAGCAAUAAAAUCAAUACAAAGAAAUAAAGCAAUAAAAGGGAAAAAGGGGUUGGAUCCCUCCCCUCGUGAAUAGUGUCCCUAACAAGGCAAGGCAGACUCUACCCUAGGCAAGCUAUCAUGGAUGCAUGAGGUAUUGGCUCACUAAUGCAUCUAGACUCGAUAGGUUUUAGGUCCCCGAGCCUUCAGACUUGGAAACCAAGGGUCAUCAAUCCCAAGGUUCUUUGUCGGUGGCUCGAGCGAUUCCCUAAACAUUGCUACGCACACAUCGUGUCACGGCUACAUAUCAUGAGUGAAUCUAUCAAAAAUCCUCAAUUUUCAAUUAAAAGUUAAAGGCUAUGAACCCAAAGCUUAAAAUGGAAGAUUGAGUGACUCCUCGGAUCAUGCUACGCACACAUCGUGUUGCGAUCACAAGUUCAAGUGAGUCGCCUAAAAUCCUAAUAGGGUGGAGUGGCGUGACAAGCCACUAAAAGAAAAAUAAAUGAGGGGUAAAAAAUUAAAGCGUAUGCACGUAUGCUAGUGCUCGUUUGGAGGGGAGGGAUCAAGAACCAACGCGAGGUUCUGGGGUAUGUCCCCCACCCAAAUGCAAUGCAAAGCGCGGAAUCACAUACACCAUCCAUCCAUCAAGUCAAUCAUACGCAAAUGUGAGGGAGUGAGUUGAUAUGCGCGAAAUGCAAAAAUCCUAAAAAAGAAAAAAGAUGCAAUCCUAAACAUCCAAAUGUAAUAGAUAAGAAGGUUAAAAGAAGAAAAUAAUCGACUAAAUCAAAUGCUCGGACUCUCUAAGUCCCCAGUGGAGUCGACAGCUGUCGCUCCCCAUUUUUACAAGAAAAAUAAAUAGUUUAAAAAGUGAAUUUUUUGAUUUGAAAAAUGAUUUUUGAUUUACAAUGAAAAUGGGUCUAAAUGGGACUUGAAAAUGCGACGAUUUGACCCAAAACUUAGUUUAAAAAAGGUUUUUGAAAUAAAAAUCGGAGUCGCCACUUGGUAUAGAGUUAAGGUGUACCAAGUCACCUAAAAAUGAAUUUUUUAAAGAAAAAUAGGAGAAAAACCCUUUUUAAACGACUCCAAGUCUACGUAAAUCAAAGAAAAAGGUUCGGGAGUCACAUUUGAAAAAAGGGAAGGCAAGGACGAAAUCCAAGGCACCCUCUCAACUUAGCCAAGGCUAGUUGCGCGAUUUAGUCAAAGAUUUUCUUGUUUUAACCAAAAGAUUUAUCACAUUCGGAUGUACUAUAUGAAUGCAAAACCUAAACCUAGGGGGGAUUGGGGGGCAAAAUUUCUCUUCAAAAUUUGAAUGGUGCCAAUCACAUUAAUUGUGAUGCCCAAUGCGGAUUCUUUGGAGAGGUCACGAAUAAUGCUAAUGACGUAAAAAUGAGUGGAAUGAAUGUAUGCAAUGUGAGAAUAUGAGUUUGUGUGAAGUGUAAAAAAAUGAUAAAAGAUAAUGGUGUAUAAGUGGGAGUGUGCAAAUGAGUGUGCAAUGUAAGGUGAGUAAAGUGAUAGUAUGAAGUGCAUGUGUGCACGUGAUAGCAUAUAAAGUGCUAGUGGUAGAGUGAGAAUGUGUAAGAUAAGAGUCAUGUGCAAUAUGAAAUGCAUGAGCCCUAGAGGAAUGCAAGCAAGACAGGUACGGGGGACUAAUGUUCGUGACUUAAUUUUCCUUUUGGUUAGAAAAAGAUUGAGCGUGCUAAGGCUAUGUAUAGCCAAACUCGUCCAUCCCCCUUACCAAAAGAGUGACUCCCUAACCUAUACAAGCAAAUGAGCUAAUCUCAAUGACAAUGUAAUCCGAAAUGUGUAAGGGAAAGGGAGUGAAGGGUCAUGCAAAAAAUGUAAAACUAAAAGGAAAGAAUGAAUGAAGAUGUAGUGAAGGCAUGCGAGUAUGUACUAGCGAGAAAGGGCCCUGUUGGGUCUAGCAUUGGACUAGCCCUUUACUAACGCUCGUUUACAAGCAUUGGACUUGUAAGAGCUCGAGGGGACAAUCAUGACUAGUAUUAGACUAGCCACGGUUACGUGCAUUUGCAUCCAUCAUACACGUAUAUAAGUAAUAUGCAUAAUUAAAGCAAGUAGGCAUGUGAGCACAUAAUUCACGUAACAUAUAAGCAUGCAUAUCUAGAUGCCAAAACCUAAGAAAACGAUUAAACACAUAGCACAUAGACAUGCAAAACACAUAAGGCAAUUAAGGCCCUAACUAUUACAUUUUUAGGGGGGAAGGCCUACUACAAUCUAAAAGGGGAAACAGAAUGAAAUGAAUAAUUUAAAAAAAAUCUAACUAUUACAAUUGUGGCAUUCAAGUGCCUUCCCAAAUGAUCAAAAAGGAACUUAAAAAAAUAUACGAAAAUAAGCAAAUAAAGCGAUAAAUAAAUAAGUAAAUAAAAACAUUCAAAAGGCAUGCAAUUGAGCACAUAUAGUCACAUAAGCUCACAUAGGGUCAAAUAAAGUCAAAAAAUAAAGGAUAAGGUGUACCUCCCUUGAGUUAGAGCUCUAAUGGGGUGAAAUGACUUAUUUACCCUCCAAAAAUAAAGAAAAGGUCAAGGCACCAAUUUAAUUUGAGACAAUUAAAGAAAAUAUGCAACUAACAAACUCACUUGAUCAUAAGCUCUUAAAAUCAUGAAUUAAGUGCAAUUUAAAUAAAGCAGGGUAGUUGAUUGAAGCAAACAAGUAAUGAAAAGUUAUAAAAUUAGAGCUGCCAAGGACCAAAUUAAGGAAAUUAUUCAAUUGGUUGGGUCAUAGUAGCAUUAACCAAAAGCCAAAGGGAUGAAAUGCAAUUCUUGAAACCUUUUCCAUGCAAACCAUGCAAACUAAUACGAAGAAAGCUUUUGCAACUACUUCAUAUACUCUUGCAACCGAGAAAGAAAAUCUGCUGCAUUCCUUCCUCAACCGAGACUGGUUGCUAAUUUUCCAAAAAAUGUUCUAACAUGAUUCAAAUGUUUCUGACCUACACAUGCAAACCCAACUCGCUCACCCAAUUUUCUCUCAUCAAGUAGGUAAUGAGACCCACUUGGUGGGCCGUUGCGGGAGAGGAAACAGCAAAACAGGAGCAUGAAAUGCAGCUUUCUUAUUUCCCUACCUCGACUUAGAUAGGUUUACAUGCCAGUAUUCGACAAACUCUAGUAAUCUAACAUUCAAACCAAACUACCAAGCUUCAACUCAUUGUCAUUAACAUCCCCAAGCAUAAUCAUCUAACCCCCAUAACAUAUGAUUGAAACAGUCGGGCACGAAAUGCAGCAAAAGAAACAGUGAAACUUGCGGCAAAGCAAUCUAUGCACACGAUCAAGUCAUUCCAUUGGGGUAAAUAAGUGAAACUGGACCACAAACCAAAGACAUACAACUUCACCUUGGUUCAAACAUAGCAUCAAAACUACAAGCCCUUCCUAGCUUCUAGUUUACCAAGACUUUGGCAAAUAAAAUCAUUCCAACACUACCAACUCACUCACUAUCAAAACAUUGGACCCCAAAGGAAAAGACAAUGAAAGCGUAUGAACUAAUGGGUAUGGAUACCAGCUUCAGCUAGAACAGCCGAAGUUUCUAAGACAUAAAAAAAAACUCUAUUGCCGUAACAGACCUGCCGCAUUGUAGUCUGAUGCUACAUCGCAUCUUGCGGCUUAAAAUUGCAGCAGAGCAUACACGGCACUGCUAUCAUACAGCAGGUCAAUCCAAACACAAAACAAAACUGAGUCAAGCAAGAAAUUCAUUCACCCGAAAAAGAAUCAAAAUGAACAGAUCAUACAACACUUCCUCGUUGGUUUCCUCUACAGCAACUUAUUCAGUCAUUUCUCGCAAUUUCAAACGCAAACCAGCAAAUUUAUUACCCAAAAUUCAUUAAACUUCAAUACUAACACAACCUCACUAUAGGAGAUCAGUCAUUACAGAUCAAACAAAGAACCAAAUGGGUGAACAUGCAAGACAGAGAAACGAAAUCAGCUUUCUAAAGAACCCUGGAGGCGUUUGUCAGAGGCUAACAUCUUGAUACUAAACUAUAACCUAGGAAUCAAAAAAUCAAACAGACUGCAGAUCCUAACAUGCUAAUCAUGCAACGUAACAGCCAAAGAUAACAACUUUAGGCUAAAAAUCAUAACCAACAAUAUGCCUCCCAUUGCCUUCCAACAAAAUCUAGAGUUCCGAAUACAAGCAUGGAAAGGAUAACGUUAACAGAUGGAGAGAGUAAUAUACCUGGACAGCCGGAAAAAGGGAUUAGAUUGAAAUGAUCUUUAGCAAACACCUUUGCCUCUCCGCGAUGAUGGAAAACGGACGAGGGCCGUGGGUUUCUUCUUCCUCAAUCACUUUUCUUUUGCUCAGUUCCGUCUCUCUCCAACUCCCUCUCCCUUUUUCUUAAUCUCCGCCGCAACUCCAGCUCUCGGGUUUUUCCUUUUCUUCUUGCUUCUGACCUCUCUCUCAAAGCUGCAUUUCUUGUUCUCAAGCACCCCAGCCGCCACUCUCUUCACUCACUCUCUUUUCGGAAGCUCUCCCCCCAGCUCUCUUUUCCCCUUGCUCAACCCAGCCGUCAUCCAACCUCUAUCUGGUUUCUGUUUUUCAAUCCCCCAAAGACCU